CUGUCUCUGAACCCUCAGAAAGACGAGACUCUAGAAAACAGAGAAGGCUCAAUAUGUGCUUCCUGACGGGAGCACGCUGAACAUUGGUCCAGCCUGCUUCAGAGCUCCAGAGCUUCUCUUCAGACCCGAUCUGAUUGGAGACGAGUCCUCUGGGAUUCACGAGGUUUUGGCGUACGCCAUCCAGAAGUCUGACAUGGACCUGAGACGCACGCUGCACUCCACCAUCGUGCACCCUCAUCAAAGAUCUCUGCUCCUCAGGAGAGGCUGUACUCCACAUGGAUCGGAGGCUCCAUCCUGGCGUCGUUGGACACCUUUAAGAAGAUAUGGGUUUCAAAGCGUGAAUAUGAAGAAGACAGAGCGCGGGCCAUCCACAGGAAGACCUUCUAGAUCCAGAGGGUCCCAAAACACCCCGAAAUACUGCAGGAGACCCCUACACUUCCGCUUAUCCACCCCCAGAGAAACAUGCAGGAACCUGUGUUUUUCCUUAUUUACCUGCUUCUUCAUUCCCCCUGCACACACACACUUACACUCUCACACACACACACACAC